UACGUAGGUGGCAAGCGUUAUCCGGAUUUACUGGGUGUAAAGGGUGAGUAGGCGGGUCUGCAAGUCAGGUGUGAAAUACUGCGGCUCAACCGCAGAAUUGCAUUUGAAACUACGGAUCUUGAGUGUCGGAGAGGUAAUUGGAAUUCCCAGUGUAGCGGUGAAAUGCGUAGAGAUUGGGAGGAACACCAGUGGCGAAGGCGGAUUACUGGACGACAACUGACGCUGAUACACGAAAGCGUGGGGAGCAAACAGGAUUAGAUACCCU
rnacentral:rRNA from 1 species